rnacentral:rRNA from 1 species
CCCUUAGAUGUUCUGGGCCGCACGCGUGCUACACUGAGUAAAUCAAUGGGUAAGGGAACACGAAAGUGCAACCUAAUCUUGAAAUUUGCUCGUGAUGGGGAUCGACGGUUGCAAUUUUCCGUCGUGAACGAGGAAUACCUUGUAGGCGCGUGUCAUCAUCACGCGCCGAAUACGUCCCUGCCCUUUGUACACACCGCCCGUCGCUCCUACCGAUUGAGUGAUCCGGUGGGGCUCUGGGACCUGGACGGAAAGAGCGUUUCGCUUGUUCUGUUUGGGAAACUUGGUCGAACCUUAUCAUUUAGAGGAAGGAGAAGUCGUAACA